rnacentral:rRNA from 1 species
UACGGGGGGGGCAAGCGUUGUUCGGAAUUACUGGGCGUAAAGGGCUCGUAGGUGGCCAACUAAGUCAGACGUGAAAUCCCUCGGCUUAACCGGGGAACUGCGUCUGAUACUGGAUGGCUUGAGUUCGGGAGAGGGAUGCGGAAUUCCAGGUGUAGCGGUGAAAUGCGUAGAUAUCUGGAGGAACACCGGUGGCGAAGGCGGGUCUCUGGGCCGAAACUGACGCUGAGGAGCGAAAGCGUGGGGAGCGAACAGG